GCGGACCAAGUGAAGUCCACAAGAUGGCUGCUGUGGCUCCAGGCAUUACGUCCACAUACAACUCUGUCCAGAGGCAGGAACUGGGAAUAGGCUUGGAGGUGGCCAGGACAGCAAGUGGGCUGUCUGCAUAAACCUCCCUUCCACUUGGGAAGGAAAAUCACCCCCCAAGUCGAUUUUCUGUCCAUCUUAUUGAUCAGAGAGUAUUAUAAAUCCACCCAUUAAAUAAUCUGGACAAGGGGAGUGUGCAUAUUGUCCUUGGUUUAGACUGGUUAUGAUUCAUGCCCCGAAAUUGGACAUAUUGCCAAGCAAGCGAAAUUGAGAUUCCAUCAGCCAGGAAGAAGGGGAUUGUGGUGAGGAGCAAAUGAAUCAACGCAUGGGCAAGGGAUGGU
rnacentral:sRNA from 1 species